rnacentral:rRNA from 1 species
AUGAACGCUGGCGGCGUGCUUAACACAUGCAAGUCGAGCGAAGCACUAAAGCGGAUUUCUUCGGAUUGAAGGUUUAGUGACUGAGCGGCGGACGGGUGAGUAACGCGUGGGUAACCUGCCUCAUACAGGGGGAUAACAGUUGGAAACGGCUGCUAAUACCGCAUAAGCGCACAGUACCGCAUGGUACGGUGUGAAAAACUCCGGUGGUAUGAGAUGGACCCGCGUCUGAUUAGGUAGUUGGUGGGGUAACGGCCUACCAAGCCGACGAUCAGUAGCCGACCUGAGAGGGUGACCGGCCACAUUGGGACUGAGACACGGCCCAAACUCCUACGGGAGGCAGCAGUGGGGAAUAUUGCACAAUGGGGGAAACCCUGAUGCAGCGACGCCGCGUGAGCGAAGAAGUAUUUCGGUAUGUAAAGCUCUAUCAGCAGGGAAGAA